CAGAGAUAUAAGAAAGUGAAAGACAGUAAUAAUGUUUUAUUUUGAAAUCUUGAAGAUCAUAGAGAUAAUUAUCUUCAAAUAUAAAAAAGAAAAAAAAAGGAAAAAGGAAAAAAAGAAGAUAAAUAGAAGAGAAAAAAUAAAAUGAAAGAAUAAAAUAAAAAAAUAAAAUGAUAAAAAAAAUAAGACGAAAAAAAAGGUAAAAGAUAUGGCUAUAUUUGGGGGAGGUGAAAUAGUGGAAUGAAAUUAGGAAAAUGUAAAGUAGUGAGAGAAAAAUAUGCACUUGCCUAGUUAAUUAGUAAAAUAAUGUUACUCUUGCUAUAAACUGUAAUUUUACAAACGUAUUGCUAUUUAUUGUAAUUAUAGUCUUAAGUAUGCUACUUUGUGUAAUUUUUCCUAUCUUUCUUAUAUUAUGUUUCUUUCACCCUUUAAAGAUUCAAAGAUUUCACUAAAGAUAUUACAUUACUAGAAAAUGAAGGGCCCGUUUACGGGCCCAAUAUUACAAUUUUAAAUAUUUAUAUAUGUAUUUAAUAAGUUUUUUUAAAUGAACUUUUUGGUAUUUUUAAAUAAACAUGAUCGAAAUGGUAGUAGAGAUCAAAUUUUAUAAUACA
rnacentral:lncRNA from 1 species